rnacentral:rRNA from 1 species
AGAGUUUGAUCCUGGCUCAGAAUGAACGCUGGCGGCGUGCUUAACACAUGCAAGUCGAACGGUAAUAGGAGAAGCUUGCUUCUUGCUGACGAGUGGCGCACGGGUGAGUAAUGCAUAGGUAACGUGCCCCUUAGUCUGGGAUAGCCACUGGAAACGGUGAAUAAUACCGGAUACUCCUUCUCACUUAAUGUGAGUCGGGAAAGUUUUUCGCUAAGGGAUCGGCCUAUGUCCUAUCAGGUAGUUGGUGAGGUAAGAGCUCACCAAGCCUAUGACGGGUAGCGGGUCUGAGAGGAUGAUCCGCCACACUGGUACUGAGACACGGACCAGACUCCUACGGGAGGCAGCAGUGGGGAAUAUUGCACAAUGGACGAAAGUCUGAUGCAGCAACGCCGCGUGGAGGAUGACACAUUUCGGUGCGUAAACUCCUUUUAUAUGAGAAGAUAAUGAUGGUAUCAUAUGAAUAAGCACCGGCUAACUCCGUGCCAGUAGCCGCGGUAAUACGGAGGGUGCAAGCGUUAUUCGGAAUCACUGGGCGUAAAGGGUGCGUAGGCGGUUUGGAAAGUCAGGUGUGAAAUCCUACAGCUUAACUGUAGAACUGCACUUGAAACUUCCAGACUAGAAAACUGAAGGGGCAGAUGGAAUUAGUGUGUAGGGGUAAAAUCCGUAGAUAUCACUAGGAAUACCGAAAGCGAAAGCGAUCUGCUGGGAAGUUAUUGACGCUGAGGCACGAAAGCGUGGGGAGCAAACGGGAUUAGAUACCCCGGUAGUCCACGCCCUAAACGAUGAAUGCUAGUCGUCGGAAAGCUCGUCUUUUCGGUGAUGCAGUUAACACAUUAAGCAUUCCGCCUGGGGAGUACGGUCGCAAGAUUAAAACUCAAAGGAAUAGACGGGGACCCGCACAAGUGGUGGAGCAUGUGGUUUAAUUCGAAUAUAUGUGAAGAAUUUUACCUAGCCUUGAUAUUGAUAGAAUCUGAUAGAGAUAUCGGAGUGCCUGUUUGUAGGAACUUGAAAACAGGUGCUGCACGGCUGUCGUCAGCUCGUGUUGUGAGAUGUUGGGUUAAGUCCCGCAACGAGCGCAACCCUCGUCGUUAGUUGCUAACAGUUCGGCUGAGCACUCUAGCGAGACUGCCUUCGCAAGGAGGAGGAAGGUGAGGACGACGUCAAGUCAUCAUGGCCCUUAUGGCUAGGGCUACACACGUGCUACAAUGGGGCGUACAGAGAGUUGCGAUACCGCGAGGUGGAGCCAAUCUCAUAAAGCGUUUUUCAGUUCGGAUUGUUCUCUGCAAUUUGAGAACAUGAAGCUGGAAUUACCAGUAAUCGUAGAUUAGUAUGCUACGGUGAAUACGUUCCCGGGUCUUGUACUCACCGCCCGUCACACCAUGGGAGUUGAUUUCACCCGAAAUCGGGAAGCGAACCUUCGGGGCGCUACCGCUUACGGUGGAAUUAGCGACUGGGGUGAAGUCGUAACAAGGUA